GGAGUCGCCCCGACACGAGCCCGCCAGCUCCGUCCCACCCCAGACCAGCGUCCCAGCCUUGUGCCGGCCUUCUGGAGCCCCUGCGGUGCGUCCUGCGGGGGGCAGAGAGGGCACCUUCAGCUGGUACGAGGCUGCGGCAGCCGAGCAAGCCCCCGGGUCCUGCCCUCCGCCCCAGCGGGUGCUGGCCUAGGGCUGCAGGCUCUGCCCCCCCAGCGUGGAGGACCCGUCCCUCCGGUGCCUCGGAAGCCUUCCCUCGCUGGCCAGGACUGACUGCAGGGCCUUUCUGAAGCCACCGUCCAUGAGGGAACUGGUGUUGGGGGCAUGGGGGCAGCCGCGUGUGUGCUGGAAGGUCCUUCUGCAGAGCUGAUACUCCGAGAGCACUGUGGAGGUCUGCCACAGCACCCUCACCGGCUCCCUGAGCAUCGUGCCCGCUGUGGAGGGGCCCACGCCCCCGCCAGGUGCCAGGAGCCCCCCCCCCGACGGCACCCCCCAGGGGAGCUACCUGGUGUUCAUCGGCUGCUCCCUGAAGGAAGAGCGUGUCAAGGACUGGCUGCAGCAGUCGACCAAGCAGGUGGGCCCCAGGCCAGGCAGCCUGACCGCACCCCGGCAGGCUCAGGACCCUGGGCGGGGGGGGGGCAGGUCCUCACGGACGGCCGGCCCUGCCUGCCCAGGCCGCAGCGACGGGUGCUGGCUCCUGCGGCCCGGAGCCCGGCACGUCCCCUCUCGAGGCUGCCACAGCCUCGGCUCGCACCCCAGCCUUUCCCCGGGGGCUUCUGCUUGGGCCCGAUCCCCCCUUCUCGGAAGCCUUCCUCUUGACUACCCCCGAGUGGGGCUGACCCAGCCCUGGUAACCCUGCUCGGUCCAGGCCCUCGCGGCACCUGCGGUCUCAAAAGUAGCGUGUCUUCUCCAAGCAGAAUCUGGCUUCCCUGCGCCCCAAGUCCAGCGCCUCCCCUGCUUGGGUUCUGAGCAGCAGGGAUGGGUGCUGCCCCAGGCGGCCCUGGGGACGGCCGCGGACUCCGUGGCACUUCGGCCCCAGGCCGCGAGGAGAGCCCAGAGCGCUGCGGCUCGGUGCCCCGGGCUUAGCUCCCCGCAUGGCUCUGGGCGCUCAGAUGACCGUCCUCUUCAGACCCUCCCCGGGACCAACGCCCCCGGGCUGUCCCUCACUGCCCGGGUGCAGGAACCCGUGUGCCAACGCUCGGGCACGCGGCCCCAGGGGCGGGAGGAGGCCCGGG
rnacentral:lncRNA from 1 species